rnacentral:lncRNA from 13 species
GAGACCGACUGGGCUCCAGAUUUUGCGUGUGACCUUCCAGGAACAGAAGACGAAUUAAUCUACAGAUAUAAGUCAAGAUGGAGAAUCGACAGACUAUUUUGACCUGCCUUAUUGUGAUCCUCAUGGCCUUAACACGGCUUAGCGAGGGUGGCUACGUUGCACAGUGCAACAGGCUGACGUUCGACCACUACGUGCAUGGUUACUGCCUCCCAAACUUCAACCAGAGCAUGGAAGCUAGCAACUAUCAGCACAGAUGUCCCUGGCCCACCUUUAAAGACUCCUACAUCAUUUUGAAGCACUGUGUGGAACAAGUAGGCACCAGUACCGGGUGUGUGGAGCCUUCACUGAAGGAUGACAUCUUCCUAGAGGUGCACCAGAUGUUCUUCUCACUCUGCUCGCGUGUGGAGGACCCGGCUUUCGCUGUCCUGAUGUUGCUGAUUCUGCCUUGUGUCAUCACCAUUCUGCUCCUACCCCUGCUGUGUGUCCACAUCACCACAACCACUGGGAUCUGAGAGCCAACCCUCUUGGUGGACAAAUCUUACAAAUGCACACACACACACACACACACAAAAUACACUUUCACGUGAGACACACUAGACGUAGCCAACAGAAAGUUGGAUAUCUGUUUAACAUUCAGAAACACACAUUUUUGCACACCCAUAUAUUGUAUGUUGAAUAAUGGUACUUAUAGUAUUGUAAUACCCUGUUAUGUUCUUAAAUAAGUCUUGAAUAAAAAUGUGAUAGAUUUAUUUGAAACACAUAAUAAAGAUUUAUUUGAAACACAUAAAUAUUUAUUUUCAGACAAAAAAAUAACAAUUUGUUUUACAGUAGUUUGAAAACCCCUUUACAAUAAUAACAGGCUGAACCGCUAUUCAAGUAUCCACAUAACAUAAGUAUCUUUCAGUAUUGCUAAUGCUAAAGUAAUUCAUAAUUUAUCAUAAAAUUAACUCACAUACUUUUUUUUCUCAGACAGACAAACCCCACUUCAUCAGGUAUCGUUUUCAGAGCAGUGUGUGUGUGUGUGUGUAUGUGUGUCACUAUAUUUGUGUGUGACAUGGCUUCAGGAUGAUUUUAACACAGGUAUAGCAUGUAUAAACCAUACUCACCUUCUUAAGAGUGACACUAAAAACAUUGUCCUUCAUUGAGAGAUAUGUCAUAAGUCCUUCAUUACAAGUGAGCUGUAGAAAAUCCUUUAAAUGCCACAAGACCGUCAAUUAAAGUCAAAUUCACCUACCUAACAAUAAACCCGUUAUCUACUUCCCCAGAGUCUGAUGAACUAGUGGAUACCAUAUUUAUGUCUCUGCAUACAGUAUGCAGGAAGGUAGUUUUGCGAGUCAAAGCUUACUAGCAUUAGCACAAUGACUGGUGCUAAUGCUAACUGUUCCAGUAGACUUCCAAUCAUUGUGUUAAUGCUAGUUAGCAUUGAGGUAACUAGCUCGUAGCUUCAUUGUCAAAAUCUUGAACUAUCCCUUUAAAGGGGACCUUCACCUUUAUAACUUUAUAUUCAUUACAAGGUGCAAACUUGUAGGACAAGUUGGUAAUGACCAAUUAAUAAAAAUUAAAAAACUGGACAUACAAUAGGAUGUUGCCACAGGGUUAGCAGUGCUAUCUUAUUACUUAUGAAGGUAGAUACGUAAAAGAUAUACAGGUAAUCUAAUUGCAUACAUUUCUGAUUGUCUACAGUACUUCUUAACGCCUUCACAAAUGUCCUAGUCAUCCAAUCAAAUGAAGAAAAAAAAGGUCCCAGAGACUUCCAAGUGAGAGACGG